GCGCACGUCGAGCACGUGCACCUCAAGAAGCCCUGGCCGCGCCGCGCGCGCGCGCGCCCUCACGAGCACUGCCUCGCGUAACCGGAACUGUAGACAUCUUAGAAAUAAUUCAUACUCAUAAAAAAUAGUAUUUAAUAAUUUAUAAACACAAGUGAUUCUCAAAGUAUUAUUUAAAAAAAAAUUGAUAAUAAUUGGUAUAUUUUUAAGGAAAUCAUGAAUUAAGAAAUCGUAGAGUGCGAUAUAGUUAAAUAGUUUUGGAGCAAAAAGAUCUCAUAUAUUUGUGUUUUUUUUUUAUAAUUUAAUUUAAACUAAGAUUUAUGUGUAAUAUUGACUUAAAGUAUUGUGUAUAAAUUAGCUGUAAGAUCAAAAUUAUGUUGUAAUGUGUUUGUGAGCGUAUUGUGUUUGUGUGCGUUGAUAGAAAGUAAUACGAUUGAUAUUUAUACUCGAAUAAUGUUUAUCAUUUGACAUCUGAAAAA